rnacentral:rRNA from 1 species
GACGAACCGUGCGAACGUUGUUCGGAAUCACUGGGCUUAAAGGGCGCGUAGGCGGCCCCGCCAGUCUCGGGUGAAAUCUUCCGGCCCAACCGGAAAAGUGCCCGGGAUACUGCGGGGCUCGAGCGAGGCAGGGGCGGGGGGAACUUCCGGUGGAGCGGUGAAAUGCGUUGAUAUCGGGAGGAACGCCGGUGGCGAAAGCGCCCCGCUGGGCCUCUCCUGACGCUGAGGCGCGAAAGCCAGGGGAGCGAACGGG